AUAUUUCACCAAAUAGAUCUAUAGCCUCAAAAUAAGGUACUGCAGGCCGUGAGAGGCAACAGCCUAAACUACAGCGUUGUGAUGACCUGAUAGAGGUGAACAGGAAAUAUGUAUCUCUCAGGGGGCUGGACCUGACUCUUGGUCUGAUAAAGAGACAGAGACAGCAGAUGAAGAAGACACAGUGACAGGCACAUGGAGUGGACAUGGAUCACAGAGUGCUGAUUGUGCUGCUCUGGACCUCAGGAUUCUCCCCAGGUCUCCAGACAGAAGAACAUGAUGCUUUCAAAGUGAUUGAUGAUAUCCGGUUGGUGGGAGGAUCCAGCCGCUGUUCUGGUGUGCUAGAUGUGAAGCACCAGGGAGUUUGGAGAGGAGUGGAUGACUAUAAAUGGGACCUGAAGUCAGCAGACAGAUUUUGUAGAUAUCUCGACUGUGGUUCUGUGGUUCGGACUUCCUCAACAACACGUCUAUUUCUACCUCCAUGGUUUAUCUCACCUUCCUGUCUUAAGUCUGAAUCUAGACUGAAGAAAUGUGUAGAACAAAGUCCUCCAAAUCA